AGUCGAGGUAGUAAGGGCACAUGGUGGAUGCCUUGGCGCCAGGAGUUGAAGAAGGACGUGGCCAGCUGCGAAAAGCCUCGGGGAGCCGCUAGCGGGCGUUGAUCCGGGGAUGUCCGAAUGGGGAAACCCGGCACGCGAAGAGCGUGUCAGGGCUGCCUGAAUACAUAGGGCAGUCCGGAGAACGGGGGGAACCGAAACAUCCAAGUACCCCCAGGAAAAGAAAGCAAGGAAGCGAUUCCCUAAGUAGUGGCGAGCGAACGGGGAAGAGCCUAAACCCUACCGGUGUGAUAGUCUGCCGGCGUUGCCGGUAGGGGGUAGAGGGACCUCCUGUUACACUGCGGCAGCGGUGUAGGGAAGUUACAAAACCUCGGUCUAGCCGAAGGUGCCUGGAACGGCGGGCCAUAGAAGGUAAGAGCCCUGUAGGCGAAAGGCUGGAGGACUUCCUAAGGAGGCACCCGAGUACCGCGGGGCACGCUAACCCUGCGGGAAUCAGGGAGGUCCACCUCCUAAGGCUAAAUACUCCCUGGCGACCGAUAGUGGACUAGUACCGUGAGGGAAAGGUGAAAAGAACCCCUGUUAGGGGAGUGAAAUAGAACCUGAAACCGUGUGCCUACAAGCAGUUCGAGGCUCAUGGCCGAAAGGCCGGGCUGAGGGCGUGCCUAUUGAAGAAUGAACCGGCGAGUUAUGGUCUGUAGCGAGGUUAAGGGGUUAAGCCCCGGAGCCGCAGGGAAACCGAGUGCGAAGAGCGCGAAUAGUUACAGGCCAUAGACCCGAAGCCGGGUGAGCUAUCCAUGGCCAGGGUGAAACGCGGGUAAAGCCGCGUGGAGGCCCGAACUAAUUGUCGUUGAAAAGACAUUGGAUGAGCUGUGGAUAGGGGUGAAAUGCCAAUCGAACCCGGAGAUAGCUGGUUCUCCCCGAAAUAGCUUUAGGGCUAGCCUCGAAGUGAGGGCGGUGGAGGUAGAGCACUGAUUGGGCUAGGGGCCCUACAAGGUUACUGAACCCAUUCAAACUCCGAAUGCCACCGUGACCAUCUUCGGGAGUCAGACUACGGGUGCUAAGAUUCGUGGUCAAGAGGGCAAGAACCCAGACCGCCGGCUAAGGUCCCUAAGUCCAGGCUAAGUGGAAAAGGAAGUGGGAUUCCUAAAACAGCCAGGAUGUUGGCUUAGAAGCAGCCAUCAUUAAAAGAGUGCGUAACAGCUCACUGGCCGAGGGAUUCUGCACCGACAAUACACGGGGCUCAAGCCUGGCACCGAAGCCGCGGAAUUGGCUGUAAGGCCAAUUGGUAGGGGAGCGUUCCGCGGGCGUAGAAGGUAGACCGGGAGGACUACUGGAGCGCGCGGAAGUGAGAAUGCCGGUAUGAGUAGCGAAAAGGCAGGUGAGAAUCCUGCCCGCCGAAAGCCUAAGGUUUCCUGGGCAAGGCUCGUCCGCUCAGGGUUAGUCGGGACCUAAGCCGAGGCGUAUAGCGUAGGCGAUGGACAACCGGUGGACAUUCCGGUACCGCCGUAAGGAGCGAAGGGGUGACGCAGGUAGGAGGACCCGGCCGGGUGUUGGUUCCGGUCCAAGCCCAAAGGGAGCCCCCGCAGGGAAAUCCGUGGGGGAGUCCUGAAGGGUGAUGGCGAGGGAAAUUAGAGUACUGAAGCGGGUUUGUCCCAGACUGCCGAGAAAAGCCUCUAGCGCACCGUAAGGUGCAAUCCUUAUGGCGCCCGUACCAGAAACCGACACAGGUAGGCGGGGAGAGAAUCCCAAGGCGCGCGGGAUAACCCUCGUUAAGGAACUCGGCAAAAUGACCCCGUAACUUCGGGAGAAGGGGUGCCCCCGUGAGGGGGCCGCAGAGAAACGGCCCAGGCGACUGUUUAACAAAAACACAGGUCUCUGCAAAGCCGAAAGGCGAAGUAUAGGGGCUGACGCCUGCCCAGUGCCGGAAGGUUAAGGGGAGGGGUUAGCCGCAAGGCGAAGCUCUGAACCGAAGCCCCGGUGAACGGCGGCCGUAACUAUAACGGUCCUAAGGUAGCGAAAUUCCUAGUCGGGUAAGUUCCGACCCGCACGAAUGGCGUAACGAUCUGGGCGCUGUCUCGACGAGGGACCCGGUGAAAUUGAAUUACCUGUGAAGAUGCAGGUUACCUGCGACUGGACAGAAAGACCCCGUGGAGCUUUACUGUAACCUGACAUAGAAUUUUGUUGUUUCAUGUACAGGAUAGGUGGGAGGCAGAGAACCACCCUCGUCAGGGGGUGGGGAGCCGCCCUUGGAAUACCACCCUUGAAAUAACGAAGUUCUAACCCAGGGUCCUGGAACGGGCUCGGGGACGGUGUCAGGCGGGCAGUUUGACUGGGGCGGUCGCCUCCUAAAAGGUAACGGAGGCGCCCAAAGGUUCCCUCAGCGCGGUUGGAAAUCGCGCGUGGAGUGUAAAGGCAGAAGGGAGCUUGACUGCGAGAGAGACAUCUCGAGCAGAGACGAAAGUCGGGCUUAGUGACCUGGUGGUUCCGAGUGGAAGGGCCAUCAAUCAACGGAUAAAAGUUACCCCGGGGAUAACAGGCUGAUCUUCCCCAAGAGUCCACAUCGACGGGAAGGUUUGGCACCUCGAUGUCGGCUCAUCGCAUCCUGGGGCUGGAGCAGGUCCCAAGGGUUGGGCUGUUCGCCCAUUAAAGCGGUACGUGAGCUGGGUUCAGAACGUCGUGAGACAGUUCGGUCCCUAUCCGUCGCAGGCGCAGGAAACUUGAGGGGAGCCAUCCACAAUACGAGAGGACCUGGAUGGACGCACCUCUGGUGUACCAGUUGUCGUGCCAACGGCAGAAGCUGGGUAGCCAAGUGCGGAGUGGAUAAGCGCUGAAAGCAUCUAAGCGCCAAGCCCACCCCAAGAUGAGGUUUCCCACGGAGCAAGUCCGGUAAGACCCCAGGGAGACUACCUGGUAGAUAGGCCGGGGGUGUAAGGACGGUAACGUCUUUAGCUGACCGGUACUAAUAGGUCGAGGCCUCGACUCU
rnacentral:rRNA from 1 species